CGGCGGACGGGUGAGUAACACGUAAACAAUCUGCCCUGAAGCGGGGAACAACUAUCCCAACGGAUAGCUAAUACCGCAUAAUGAUGGGGACGGCAUCGUCCCUUCUCAAAAGGCUUCGGCCACUUCAGGAUGAGUUUGCGUCCCAUUAGCUUGUUGGCGGUGUAACGGACCACCAAGGCGACGAUGGGUAUCCGGCCUGAGAGGGUGUACGGACACAUUGGGACUGAGAUACGGCCCAG
rnacentral:rRNA from 1 species